GACGUAGGGCGCGAGCGUUGUCCGGAUUUAUUGGGCGUAAAGAGCUCGUAGGCGGCUUGUCGCGUCGUCCGUGAAAACCUGCAGCUCAACUGUAGGCUUGCGGUCGAUACGGGCAGGCUGGAGUUCGGUAGGGGAGACUGGAAUUCCUGGUGUAGCGGUGAAAUGCGCAGAUAUCAGGAGGAACACCGGUGGCGAAGGCGGGUCUCUGGGCCGAUACUGACGCUGAGGAGCGAAAGCGUGGGGAGCGAACAGG
rnacentral:rRNA from 1 species